CCUACGGGUGGCAGCAGUGGGGAAUUUUGCGCAAUGCUCGUAAGAGUGACGCAGCGACGCCGCGUGAAUGACGAAUGCCUUCGGGUCGUAAAGUUCUUUCGACAGGGAAGAAAAUUCCUAUAAGUAACUGUGUAUGUAUUGACGGUACCUGUAUAAGCCGCCCCGGCUAACUCCGUGCCAGCAGCCGCGGUAAUACGGAGGGGGCGAGCGUUGUUCGGAUUGACUGGGCGUAAAGAGCACGUAGGCGGUGUUGUAAGUCAUUAGUCAAAGACUAGAGCUCAACUGUAGAAAGGCUAGUGAUACUAUAAUACUAGAGUAUAGGAGAGGAGGGCAGAAUUCGUGGUGUAGCGGUGAAAUGCGUAGAUAUCAGGAGGAAUACCGUUAGCGAAGGCGGCAAUCUGGAUGGAAACUGACGCUGAGGUGCGAAAGCGUGGGUAGCAAACAGGAUUAGAUACCCUAGUAGUC
rnacentral:rRNA from 1 species